GAAGGUACAGCUGAAGCGGUAGAGUGCCUGUUUACCACGCACAAGGUCUUGGGUUCAAUUCCCAAUAUCUCCU
rnacentral:tRNA from 1 species